AACGAACGCUGGCGGCAUGCCUAACACAUGCAAGUCGAACGAGACCUUCGGGUCUAUUGGCGCACGGGUGCGUAACGCGUGGGAACCUGCCCUAAGGUUCGGAAUAACUCCCCGAAAGGGGUGCUAAUACCGGAUAAUGUCUUCGGACCAAAGAUUUAUCGCCUUUGGAUGGGCCCGCGUUGGAUUAGCUAGUUGGUAGGGUAAAAGCCUACCAAGGCGACGAUCCAUAGCUGGUCUGAGAGGAUGAUCAGCCACACUGGGACUGAGACACGGCCCAGACUCCUACGGGAGGGAGCAGUGGGGAAUAUUGGACAAUGGGCGAAAGCCUGAUCCAGCAAUGCCGCGUGAGUGAUGAAGGCCUUAGGGUUGUAAAGAUCUUUUACCCGGGAUGAUAAUGACAGUACCGGGAGAAUAAGCUCCGGCUAACUCCGUG
rnacentral:rRNA from 1 species